rnacentral:rRNA from 1 species
GACGAACGCUGGCGGCGUGCUUAACACAUGCAAGUCGAACGGAAAGGCCCUGCUUUUGUGGGGUGCUCGAGUGGCGAACGGGUGAGUAACCCGUGAGUAACCUGCCCUUGACUUUGGGAUAACUUCAGGCAACUGGGGCUAAUACAGGAUAGGAGCUCCUGCUGCAUGGUGGGGGUUGGAACGUUUCGGCGGUUGGGGAUGGACUCGCGGCUAACUAGCUUGUUGGUGGGGUAGUGGCUUACCAAGGCUUUGACGGGUAGCCGGCCUGAGAGGGUGGCCGGCGACAUUGGGACUGCGGUACGGCCCAGACUCCUACGGGAGGCAGCAGUGGGGAAUAUGGCCCAGUGGGCGGGAGCCUGAUGCAGCGACGCCGCGUGCGUGAUGACGGCCUUCGGGUUGUAAACCGCUUUCGCCUGUGACGAAGCGGGAGUGACGGUAAUGGGUAAAGAAGCACCGGCUAACUACGUG